rnacentral:rRNA from 1 species
GGGGAAUUUUGGACAAUGGGGGCAACCCUGAUCCAGCCAUGCCGCGUGAGUGAAGAAGGCCUUCGGGUUGUAAAGCUCUUUCGGCCGGGAAGAAAUCGUGCAGGCUAAUACCCUGUAUGGAUGACGGUACCGGAAUAAGAAGCACCGGCUAACUACGUGCCAGCAGCCGCGGUAAUACGUAGGGUGCGAGCGUUGUUCGGAAUCAUUGGGCGUAAAGGGCGCGCAGGCGGCGAGGCAAGUCCGGUGUGAAAGUGCUCGGCUCAACCGAGUGAUGCGCUGGAAACUGCCCUGCUUGAGUACAGGAGGGGACGUCGGAAUUCCAGGUGUAGGGGUGAAAUCUGUAGAUAUCUGGAAGAACACCGGUGGCGAAGGCGGACGUCUGGCCAUGUACUGACGCUGAGGCGCGAAGGUGCGGGGAGCGAACA